rnacentral:lncRNA from 1 species
UGAUAACAACUUACAAAGAGAAUCCAAAUUUCAAUGAACUUGUCAAAUUUGUUAAUGUGGAGCUUCCAGAGCAGGUGUACUUGCACCCACCUCUCAGUAUCUUUGUGGUGGAGAAGAGAGCCUUUGGACGCUCCGUCAUGGUGGGAACCCACAUAGUUUCCCAUAUUAUGAAAUUUGCUCCAAAAGAGCUAGAUGAGUUGGAAGAAGAAGCCGAUAGGCCAUCCAAGACACGGAAAGCCUCAGCUCGACCCAACAUCUCCCAAACAGUGAUGAAUCUUGGUGCAGCUGCUGGCCAAACAGUGAUAAACAUGGGUGCAGCUGCUGGAAAGACAGUAAUAACCAUUGGUGCAGUUGCAGGAGACAUAGGCAGCAAAGCAAAUCCCCUGAAGCUUGUACAGGUGAGUGUGG